CACCACUCAAGCCUCGCUUGGUAUUGGGCGACGCGGUCCGCCGCGCGCCUCAAAUCGACCGGCUGGGUCGAUCGCACCCUCAGCGUUGUGGAAACUAUUCGCUAAAGGAGCUGCGGUCGGUCACGCCGUGAAACAAACCAAUUUUUCAAU
rnacentral:misc_RNA from 1 species